rnacentral:pre_miRNA from 1 species
AUGACAAUCGAAUGGUCGGUCUACCGAGCAAUAUCACCCGCUCAGUGGAAGAUCUUUCCUUUUUUAU